GAUGAAGAACGUAGCGAAAUGCGAUACUUGGUGUGAAUUGCAGAAUCCCGUGAACCAUCGAGUCUUUGAACGCAAGUUGCGCCCGAAGCCAUCAGGUUGAGGGCACGUCUGCCUGGGCGUCACAUAUCGUUGCCCAAUGCCUAUUGCAGCGCAAUAGGAAUUUCUAGGGCGAAUGAUGGCUUCCCGUGAGCGUUGUUGCCUCGCGGUUGGUUGAAAAUCGAGUCCUUGGUAGGGUGUGCCAUGGUAGAUGGUGGUCGAGUUAGAACGAUACCGAUCAUGUGCAUGCUCCCCAAAAUAUGGCCUCUAUGACCCACACGCGUCUUUUGACGCUCAUGACGAGACCUCAGGUCAGGCGGGGCUACCCGCUGAAUUUAAGCAUAUCAAUAAGCGGAGGA
rnacentral:misc_RNA from 1 species